AGAGUUUGAUCCUGGCUCAGAACGAACGCUGGCGGCGCGCUUAACACAUGCAAGUCGGGCGGUCACUUUCGGGUGGCAGCGGCGGACGGGUGAGUAACGCGUGGGAACCUGCCCUUUGGUUCGGGACAACCGCGGGAAACUGCGGCUGACACCGGAUAAGCCUCGUGAGAGGGAAAGUUUACGCCAAGGGAUGGGCCCGCGUCCGAUUAGCUAGUUGGUGGGGUAACGGCCCACCAAGGCGAUGAUCGGUAGCUGGUCUGAGAGGAUGGCCAGCCACACUGGGACUGAGACACGGCCCAGACUCCUACGGGAGGCAGCAGUGGGGAAUCUUGGACAAUGGGCGCAAGCCUGAUCCAGCGACGCCGCGUGGGUGAUGAAGGCCUUCGGGUUGUAAAGCCCUUUUCUCAGGGACGAUGAUGACGGUACCUGGGGAAUAAGCACCGGCUAACUCCGUGCCAGCCGCCGCGGUAAUUC
rnacentral:rRNA from 1 species